rnacentral:rRNA from 1 species
CUACGGGGUGCAGCAGUGAGGAAUAUUGCACAAUGGGGGGAACCCUGAUGCAGCAACGCCGCGUGGAGGAUGACGCAUUUCGGUGUGUAAACUCCUUUUAUAUGUCAAGAAAAUGACGGUAGCAUAUGAAUAAGCACCGGCUAACUCCGUGCCAGCAGCCGCGGUAAUACGGAGGGUGCAAGCGUUACUCGGAAUCACUGGGCGUAAAGGACGCGUAGGCGGGUUGGAAAGUCAGGUGUGAAAUCCUACAGCUUAACUGUAGAACUGCACUUGAAACUACGAGCCUAGAGUAUGGGAGGGGGAGAUGGAAUUAGUGGUGUAGGGGUAAAAUCCGUAGAUAUCACUAGGAAUACCUAAAGCGAAGGCGAUCUCCUGGAACAUAACUGACGCUAAGGCGUGAAAGCGUGGGGAGCAAACAGGAUUAGAUACCCGUGUAGUC